rnacentral:misc_RNA from 1 species
GGGGCGUAGCGGGUUCGAAAGGACCAGGCUCAUACUGACUUCAUUUUUCACAUUGAACGCGGGUCUUACUAAAGCAAGCCAAACUAAAAAACGAAAUCAGAAAUGGAUUCUUUUUAUUUUAAUAGCUUGACUGAAGCUAUUGGAAGCAACUGGACUCUCUCCUUAGCGAGGUCCUAGAAUAACUAGUUAGUUUGCGGUGCUACGAAAAGGUAUCAAGCUGAUUGGGGGGCUAUAGAACGAGCAUGUGUCCAAAUAUUUGGAAAAACUUCCUUUCUCGAUCGUCAUUUUCCUUUUUACCCCUCUCUUCUGGGGAGAGGGAGCUUACGACACGAUUGGAUUGAAAAGAAGUGGAUUGGGAGAGCG